CCCUUGAUAGCUCAGCUGGAAGAGCGCGAGACUGUAAUUGAUGCUUACGUAACAUCUCGAGGCCACUGGUUCGAUCCCGGUUCGAGGGA